rfam:Cavia porcellus supercont2_11 genomic scaffold, whole genome shotgun sequence.
GGAGAUAUAGCUCAGCGGCAUAAGCGCCUGCCUUGCAAGCAGGCAGUCCUAAGUUCGAUUCCCGGUACCG